CCACUUAGACCCCUAUUCUUGUUAUAUGGUGAUGUCACGGUACAUUCUUUUAUAAUUUUUUUUAUUUAAUGUUAAAUUGUAUAUAUUUUUAUUUUUUGAAAGUAUAUGAAAGUGAUACUUAAAAAUGUUAAAUAACAUAUAAAUCUAAAAAAGUUAGAAAAAUAGUGAAACCCUAUGGAGCAUUCUCAUGCCACUCUCGCCUCUUCACUAUCGACCGUCGCCGUCCACCGUUCUCACCGCCGUCCACCGUUCUCCCCGCCGUCCACCGUUCUCGUCACGGUUUGAAUUCUCAUUUCGUUCAACUUUCUCAUCACAGUUCUACGAUUUCACAUCUUCAUUUUCAGUGAAAACUUGCUCGCAGGAACCCUAAUCUAUUAUGUCGAAUCGCAGGUAGGAGAUUUGAAUUAGGUCAGUUGAAAUCGUGUUGACAUUGUAAUUGUUGUUCAAAAACUAGUUUUUAUGCUUCCUUUAGAUAUAAUUUAGAGUAGAUUCGGUUCAUGAACUUGUUACAGAGGAAUAACUGAGCAUGGAAAAGUAACCUUGCUAUCAUAUGUUAUUGAUUUGGUUCAUGAACUGAGCUUAUGAAAGAUUUAUAUUUAUUUAGUAUAAGUUUUUUUCUUUGUCAUGGACAGGUUUUAUUUCUAGAACUGAGGAAGAUUGAAAAACUUGAAGAAGAAAAUAUGCUUCAACGAAUGUUUGCCGGUGGUGCCAAAUGUCAAUUAAUGCCUUUUUGUAAACUUGAAUUACAUGCUAAUAUCGAAUUUUCCGACUAGACCUAAGGGUUUGAUUACUCUUGGUUUUUAAUAGUUACUAAUUUAUUGGUGCUGCUGGUUUAUAUAUGUAAAUUGCUAUUGUUUCUUGCAGAGUUUUGAGGCUUUGAAUCAGCGAGCAGUGGCUGUAGUUGUCGAUCCAAUUCAAAGUGUUAAAGGAAAAGUGGUGAUUUAUGCUUUUCGAUUGAUCAAUCCACAGACAAUGAUGCUCGGGCAAGAACCAAGGCAGACAACUUCCAAUCUGGGGCAUCUGAAUAAACCAUCUAUUCAGGUUUUCACCGAAACCGUUUUUCAUUUAUGUUGACAUGUCAUGGACAAAGUUCGAUCCUGCCGGUCUUGAUCUUCUUUCGGUACACAUAACUGUUUUUGAAUAGGUGCCUAAAUUACUUAACUCUUUUAUUCAUCUACUGAAAGUUUAUUUAUUAUGCCUGCUGUUGUGUUGGACAGAGAAUGCUUUGCCUGUACCCAAAUGGCAGGAUUUCAGCUAAUGAAACUCUUAACCAUCCAUAUCUUCAAUUUUGACCGCCCAAGGGCCUAUUCUCUCUUUCUUUCUUUCUACUUUUAACAGAACAAUCUUAUAGAAUCUUUGUCUUAAACACCUGGUUCUCGUGCCGGUGUUGGACUUACUGGACUCACUGUCGCUGAACACUUCCGUGAUGCUGAAGGACAUGAUGUGCUUCUUUUCAUCAACAACAUUUUCCGCUUUACUCAAGUAUGGACAACUUAUCCUGGGACCAGAAGUUGGAAGAAGCAAAGAAGGACGACAAGAUUUAUUCAAGAUUACAUGUUCUAUGAAAGUGUUUGCCUCCUACUUCGGGCCAAGUGGUUCAAGCCUUUAGCUGUUGAAGAGCGUCCAGUUGUUGAAGAAGAUAUCUAUGAGAUAGAAGACUAUUAUUAUCAGUAUGAAGAAGCUGAUGAUGAUCUAGAUGACAAUGAGGCUUACUAUGGUGCUUCAGCAAAUGUCCGGCUUGGCAACCGUAGAUGGGGAGACAACAGUUUUGUAAGGGUUGGGCGUCAAGAAGCUCGGCCGGUCCAUCAACCAAGCUUCCAGGAUUCAGGAGAGGGGAAGAAAGGUGGAGUUACCGAACAUAAAUGGAGAAACGACGGUGGUCGUUUUCAAUGGUGUGGUGGUCGCGUCGGCUGAGGAGCGCAUUGAUACUUGUUGCAGCGGCGUGAUGCACUUCGGAGGAAAUUUCCAGCAGUUUUCUGGCGGUCGAAAAACGUGAAUCUCCUCUUCCCUUUUGAUGGAAUCUCAACUGUUUCAACAUCAAUAGUUCCUCUGUGAUGGAAAAACGGUUUUUCAAUUUCACUCUCACUGUGUCGUUGUUUCUCUCUACUGCUACCUUAAACUUUGCAUCUCUCAACUAAAGAUGUUGAAAGCAAUGUUAAAGAAUGGCCCAUGGUCAAUCAAUUAAAGACAUGAUAAAAGUGAAGAAAAUUGAGGUAUUACUUGCUCUGAACCAUCCAUGAGUCUUUUGGUAUUCAAAAGGCAGAUCCAUCAUUGAAUCAAAGUUGUAACAGUAAGAUGAGUUUUGCAUGUUAUGGUGGUGGUGGUCUUUAUUGGGGCCAUGGCUUGAUUUAAUAAUUAUAAUUUGUGAUUUUUUUUUGGUGUGGUGAUGGUCUUUAUUAUUUAUGUUGUAUGUUUGUUUGAAUUGUAUAUAUUGAAGAGGACAUUCGAUCGUUUCAUGGAGUUCGUUGUUCACUUUAGUUCAUGCAUGCUUGUUUAGAUUUCGUUUUAAGCUUCGAUUCGCUACAAUUGUUUUUGAGGUAUAAACUCUGCCACUUCAAUCCUUUCUGUUUAGUUUAUUUUUUAUUUAUUUUUUUGCUUUGUUAUUUGCUUUAAGUUCAACGUUGUUCUAGCUUUUAGGGCAUAGGAAUUAUUUUUACUGAAUAAUUUGAUGAAUGAUUGCUUGUUUAGGUUCUAAUUAGUAGCUGAUUAUUGUAAAAUCAAUUUUGAAAAGAGCUUCAAAUGUUUGUACAUUCUAAUUUUGAAUAUAGAAUUUAUUUUUUCAUUCUUUGUGUGUAGCUGAUGAUUGAGGAUUGUAAAAUUCUUGAUCCUUAAGAUUUUGCUAUAACUAGAAAUAGGAAAAUAUUAAUUAUAAUGAUUAGGAAAAUAUUAAUUAUAGUGUAUGGGAUUCAAACUAAGAAGUUUCUGUUUAGAAAUCCGAUAAUUAAUUGAAAGUGUAACUUGAGAAGCUUUGUAUCUUGAUUUUGUAUGAUAAUGUAAUACAUUGCAUAUAAUAGUAGAUAGAUAGUUUUGCUGAUUAAGUUGGAUAUUUAUUGUUAAAUAUUGCUUCAGAUUGUAUUAAUAUUCACGCCAGAAAUCAAUGAUGCAAAGACCCAAGAGCUUGGUUUUAUGAGUCAUUUAUAGUAAUGUUUCAAAAUUUUAAUAAAUUAUUUUUUUUAAUUUGAUAGAAAGUAC